UUUAAUAAUAGCUUUCCUCAUCUCUGAUAUCAGAAAGUAAAUAUGUGGAUUACGUUUUAGUUUUAGUCAGUGUAUAUUAUGUAUAAGCUUUAUAUAGCAGUAGUCUGCUAUAUAAAUCUCAUUUUUGAUUAUGUAAUCUAUAGAGAUAGAAUCCAUCGAGAUACUUGCGGCUGCACAUUUGAGCAUAUCGAACUUUUAGUUACUUUGUAAAGUUUAUGGAUACGCUAGCAGGAGCGUAGUACUCGACGUCGCCACCAGAUGGCUACGCGGCGUACAGCGUACUCGUACGUAACAUCUGCUACUGCACAUAUAUAGGCAGCGAACGGAGAGCGCUCGCCGUUCCUUCGAGGACAUGUAUAUAUGUAUUUAUAUUUAUAGUGGAAUAGCAAGAUCUUUGGUUGAUGUUUCUCAUUUGUAUACCCGAGAUAUCAAUUCUCAACUUUAUAUUUACACAUUGUUUCUUUAGAUAUUACAGAAAUAAAAAAUGAGUACCAAAAGAGUAGGAUAUAUAACUGCAGAGCAAAAGGAAACCCUUAUAGAAUUUAUGAAGCAAAAUGAGAAAUUAAGAUCUGACUUGGCAAGAUCUUUAUGGAAAAACAAAGGCAAAACAUAAUAAAAUUAAUAAAUAUACAAAAGGAACAGGUGGUGGUCCUUCAUUAUCAAGUGCAGAACAAUUAACAUCUAUUGAACAACAAGUUUUGGAAACAAUCAAUACAACAGCAAUUAGUGGCCAUAGUAUGUACUAUUGCAGAACCAGAUGUUGCAUUUAUAUGUACUUUCUCCUUUUAUAUUUACAAUGUGAUCUUCAUUAUAUACAGAAAUAUUUAAUUAUAUUUUGAAAUUAAUUAUAAUGUUAUAUGUAAUAAAUAACGUUUCUGAAGUUUAAUAAACUUUUUUAAACAAAGUAAACAAACGCUAGCAAUUUAAGAGAACCGAAUAGCACGUUUUUAUUUAUCAUAAUUAUAUAUUAUCUUUUAAAACAAAAGUUACUUAUUUCCUUACUCUUAUGUGUUAAAAAAAUUAGUCUGUUAUAAAAUAAAUUAGAUGGAAAGUUUUCACCAA